rnacentral:lncRNA from 1 species
CCCUGCCAUGUCAAGAUAGCUGAACGAGAUGCCGUUGACGACCCCGCCGGCCCCUUCGCAGGAGGAAUCAGUGCUCCAAAUCUGGAUGCUCACAAGCCUUUUGGGCGGAUUGAGAGCAUUAAUGUCCCAGUGAUUACCUCCUGGGCCGCCAUACGGGCCGAUCUUCAUCGCCGGCGUUGACUGCAUGCACGGACGCGGUUAAUCGAUGGAGGAGUAUAUCUUUUGUUAGGUUACCUAUACAAUAAUAAAGUAAUCGAUCUUCACUAGUGAUCUAAAACAUCAUAUAUUAGUCUACAAAACAAAGGAAGUAGAAAGCUAGAUAGGCAGUAGGCUGAUACUCCUACCAUAUCGUUGCGUGCUUGGAGAUCUCUUUCUGUUCUAGUCUUUGCAAGGAAUGCUAGCUGCUUGCUUGCUUUGUGGCCGUCCUUGAACCAAAAUGCCCGCCUAUUUAUAGCGAAACUUUUCAGCACCUACAAGUCG